rnacentral:pre_miRNA from 1 species
GCGGCUUGGUCUUUCCGCGGUGGCCUCCUCCUCAAUCUUGGCCUUGCGCGCUUCGGGCUUGGCCUGGUCUACACAGCAGGCAGGGUUGGGAAGCUCCCUUACCCUGCCUGCUGUGUGGACAAGGCCAAGUCCGAAGCACGGAAGGCGAAGAUUGAGGAGGAGCGUGCAGUGCGGGUCCAUGGGUCGUGCCUGC